AACUUAUCAUCUCCAUCCUCUAAAAGCUCUAGAGGGCUGCAGUUUAGUCUGAAAACAACACUGGGUUUAGAAUUAGAAGCUCAGAGUUUGAAUCCUGACUCUGCAACUCUGAGCAACUCAUUUAAUGCCCUUGAAAUUCAGUUUCCUCAAAGAUCAUGGGGCUAACAAUGCCUUCCCUUUAGCGUUGGUGUAACAAUAAAAUAAAAUGAUAUAUGAGCAUGAUUUUGCUAGUGAGGGAGUUUUACAUAAACAGUAGGAUUUAAUUUAGAAGAAAAGUUUAUAUAGCAAUGUAAAAGAGGAGAGUGCCUCUUCCUGAGAUGUGGGCAUGUUGAGGCUUGACAGAUGUCAGCCAGGAAUGUCCUGGAAGUGAUCCCUGCUAUUGCUCCAACAUUCUCAAGACGCCCUGGGAAGCUCUUUCCAUUCCUCUCCUCUCUAUAGGUUUCCCUGGGAAAGUCAAACAAUCCUUGACCACAGGAGGAACUCCUUUCCUUCACGUGAUGGCAGACCACCAUUUUGUCAGGGAAUAAACGGGGCACCCGGGUCCUAAAGAGCAAGAACUUAGAGGAAAUCCACCCCUUAAUUUUAUUUCUUUUUUUUUCAACUUGGCUUCUAAAUGCUUGAUGUAGGUAGAUCAGUUGGGGAUGAAAUACUACAGAAGUUCAGAGAGAGCCACAGCUGAACCUGAGUUUGAACUUGAGUGUGACUGUCUGAUGCGCCAGGAUCAAGAGAUUCCAGCCUCACAGACCCGCAGGAGGUGAUGGGUGGGGAUGGAGGAGAGCAGCUCAAGUCGGAUUCUGAGCGGGGCCCAUCCACCAGUCUGAGCUCUGGGGAGAGAGCACAGCAGCCUCAGAAUAAUUUAAGGCAGCUAACAAAGUCACAAGCAAUGCAAGACUUUUUUAAAAAAUCUGUUGAAUGAAGAGACUUGUGGAAAGGAAAAGAAGCUGUAGGAGGAAUCAGAUGAAAAAGAGCAGUCCCCUGGAUCCACUGAGAAGGCCUGGGCCAUCUGAGGGUGCAGAGAAAGAGGCAGAUGCCUUGGAAGGGGCAUGGGCCCUAGAGUCUGACAGCCUUGGGUUCUAAACCUGCUCUCUUUGAUCUGAGUAUCAGCCACAUGGUCAGCUAAGAAGAAGGAAUGGAGUAGCCAUGAGAGAUCUCCUGAUAAGGAAUCAACUUUCUUCAGAAGGCAUCAGUUCCAGAAUAUUCCGUGCUUCUAGGGAA
rnacentral:lncRNA from 1 species